rnacentral:lncRNA from 1 species
CCGCAUACAACGCUGUCUGCACCGCUCCCCUGCCUUCUUCCGGGCUCCCAGAGCACCGCUAUGGAGAUGCUCUCCCGGCAUUUGAGGAAGAAUUGAUUGUCCUCAUCCUGCAACUGUACUUGCCCAACCGAUAUUUAUUGAUGCCUGCAGUGUCCUGGGUGCCUACCAAGGGGCACAGAACUGGAUCCGACUCAGACCCUGCCUGCCUUCAGGUUGCUUGAAGAUGAACAGAGAGAUCGGACCUCUGCAUUCAUGCUCUCCAUCUCCAGAUCAUGAACAGCAGCCAUUGUCCUGGGUCCUCCCUCCUCCCCAGAAGGACAUGAAUCCCAGGGAACAGCAGGUGGCCCUAGGUCCUCAGGCUGCGGCUCUUCCCUGGGCUGUCUGGCGCAACGACUGCUUUCCAAGGCCUUUCCUGUAUGUGAAGAGAAGACAGCUGAAGAUGAUCAAAAUGAUCUAAACCUCCUAAAUGGCCCAAAAUAAAGUUUUCUCUGUAAUUGUUUUAAAAAGAGCCAGAUGACUGAGAUUAAAACGCAG